GUUCCGAUUGUGUGCAGUGCGCGCAAAGUUGGCCAGAUUUUUGUGCUUGCACUCUGAAUAGUUGCAUUUUUGAGCAGUUCGUGGUGCAGAGCAUAAAUUGUGAGUCUGUCAGGAGUUGGUCGUAAUGAGUUGGGGAAAUCUUAAAGAAAACACUUGAAUAUGACAGAUAUUGUAUUAGAACGCAUACCUAGCAAAAAAAAUACCAUUAACUUAGUCAUUAUUAGGAAUUCUAGCCGUUUCUAGCCCCAAAGUAGGCUGCAAAAUGAUGAACCAUUUUUUAUUGGGAUUUCCAAACUGGAUUCCCUUUGAAAACUAUUCAACCGUUGAACUCUGGGUGGAGAUUUCCAAUGAUGAACGCAGUUUCGGGGCGUAACUCAAUCGAAAUGGAAACCUUGUUGCACAUCUAUUAAGAGCAAAUGUCAAAUUUAAUUGGAACACCCAGCUGCCCCCGACUUCUUCUUCUCCAUCCUUUCAUCCACUGUGUUUUGUGGGCGUGGCCGGGCGUCUGGAGAGUCUGCGGAUACUUUUGCAGCGUCAUCGCAUGAUUACGUCGAUUUUGGGACCCAGUAAUCAUCUGGUGCACGAACACAUAUGUACUAUGUACACCCCAAUCCCAGCUUCCGCAUCCCAUUACCCAGACGAGCGAAUAGACCAGGGGCAGGAGGUGAAGCAGGAGGUGAAGCAGGAACAGGAGCGGAUUGGGUGCUCUGACCGGACACAAUUAUCGGGGACCAAAAGGGCUUUCAAUUUCACUUGGUUAGCUGCAAGUAAACAGCUUUGCGGCUCCUCGAUUUCAGCCGGCUUUUUGGGUGGCGCUCAAGUCGAGCAUGCAACCAUCGCAAGCGGCACGCAAACGCAUCAAAUCAAUGAAAGUGCCCGGCUAUCGAUGGCUCUCGAGGACUCCAGGACUCCAGGACUCCCGACUCCGGCUCAUUUGACCACGGUUUGCACUUCAUUGGUUCACCCAAGAACGGGGCAAUAGAAAGGCAAACACAGGGGAAAAAAGUUUUCUAUAUUUCUAAAGCAUUGUGAAUCAUUAAUACAAUAAAACUGUGUACUGAAUAAAUA